rnacentral:misc_RNA from 1 species
GAUGAAGAACGUAGCGAAAUGCGAUAAGUAAUGUGAAUUGCAGAAUUCAGUGAAUCAUCGAAUCUUUGAACGCACAUUGCGCCCCCUGGUAUUCCGGGGGGCAUGCCUGUUCGAGCGUCAUUUCACCACUCAAGCCUCGCUUGGUAUUGGGCAACGCGGUCCGCCGCGUGCCUCAAAUCGACCGGCUGGGUCUUCUGUCCCCUAAGCGUUGUGGAAACUAUUCGCUAAAGGGUGUUCGGGAGGCUACGCCGUAAAACAACCCCAUUUCUAAGGUUGACCUCGGAUCAGGUAGGGAUACCCGCUGAACUUAAGCAUAUCAAUAGCGGAGGA